ensembl:lncRNA
CGCCCACCUGCAGCUGAUACCUUUUGAGAGUUACUAGCAGGCACCUCAGUGCAUCUUUAAGCAGCAGGAUGCCACUGAACUUGCACAGACUUUGAGCUACAGGCCUGUGGUUCGAGUGGCCCUGGGAACCCCUAAGUCAAAACCGGCAGGGGGUCCCAGGUUCCUGAAUCUAAUUGGUGCCUGCUGGACAGGUCUAACAGCUGUGCGUGGGGCAAUGCCUGUGCCUGUUGAGCUGGCUCAGCUGCAGUACGAGCGCUUCUCCACUGGCUCACCUGGUCGUGCUCUUAAACACCCCUUAGUGCAGUAAAACCUCCUCAGUGCAGUAGCUGCUCUCCUCUAGGUUGGAAAAGGCAACAGAGACACUGCAUGAAAGUUAUGAUGUUGUAGUACGAAGGCUAUAAAAACAGAAGAAGAGGGACUAAACCACCGUUCCAGUAGUUUUCUCUUCCCUUGAAACAGAGAAAUCAAAGUCAGGGAUGGGAAUAAAAGCAACAGAGACUUUGCUUGUACAAAACCAGCCCAGCACAAGGAAGUUAUCAGCAGCGGUGGACAUAGCCAGAGGAGCAAGGACAGUCAGAAAACCUGCUGGUCAAGUGGCAGCCCGGCUGUACCUCCUAGCUUACGUCCUUUUUGGGUAAUGAAAGAAGCUACAGUUUCUUAAAGGAAGGACAGAGGAACAUCCUCUUCAGACUGACACAAAAAGGGUUAAAGCAGACUGAGAGGUCGAUGUUCGCCUCUCAGUCCUCCUGAGCCAUUUCCUUCCCGGUCGUGUGGUGCCGGCCUAGCGCCGCCGCUGGGGCCGCCUCUUGCGGGGCAGGGCUGAGUCCUGGGGGCUGCUGCUGGCCUUCCUCUUUGGGGCAGGCCGGGGCCCCCCACGGGAACGGUCCCUGCUCUGGGUGGAGGGGCCCGCUGCCGCCGCCUGCCCCGGCUCCUCCUGCGCCUCCUCCUCUGAGGGCACGGUGGCGGCGGUGAGGUUCCCGGGAACCCUGCAAAGGACGCCGGGGAGCUCCUCAGCGGUGAGGCCUGCGGCGCUGGUGGAGCAGCCUGGGCCGGAGGCGGGAAGCCCCUGCUGGGAGGCGGUGGGGCUCGGGGUGGCUGUGGGGCUGUUCUCCUGUCCCCCUCUGGCACCAGUGUCCCUGUGAUCCUGCUGCCGGCGGAUCUCUGGGCCGUACAGCGCUGCAGCGAUGAUAAUGAGCCUCCUCACAAAGCGCUCCGUGAGGCCUUGGAGACUUGGCUGCAGCUCCCGCAGCAGGACCGCCUGAUCGAGCCCGUACUUGCACAGGAAGUUCAGAAUGAUGGUCAGUCUGGCGUGCAUCUCCCACCACCUGUCAACAGAGAUCCCCCUGAUCUCUUGAUGGAGCCACUGAAGCAGGGGCGUGAGGUGUCCUGGAUGUUGCUGGAAAAAGGCAGCCCAGAUCUCAGGUGGAAAGCUGAGCUCAGGAGGCAGGAGCACCGGCUCUGCAGGCUCCUGCUCGCUCUGCAGGCCAUAACCUGAGUGUGCUGUGGGCUGCGGGACAGGACACUCGAGAUAAUCAUCAUCCGACCUCACCGAGUAUCGGAUGGUUCUGAUCUUGUGCCCGCACACGGCACAUCUGUCCUUCUUUUUUGCCCACCAGAGCGCACAGCCGUAGCAUAGCUGGUGGAGACAAGGCGUCACAUAGGCCGCAUCGUCCUGAGCCUGGCCGCAGAUCGGACAGGUCCAGUCUAAUGGCAUCUCCAUGGCCGCUGGCUGUGCGGUGGGCUGGGAGAGCUGAGGACAGGAAGCUGCUCCCCUCACUGGCGCUGCAGCGGGCAGAAGGUGUCACAAACUGCAAGAGAGAGAGAGAGAGAGGCUAUGGUCGCUUUCUGUUUCCAGGGCAGACAGCAGUGAUGCCCCAGUCCCUCAACAGCAAACCUCCCCAACCCCUGCCCCCCACUGGCCAUCCUGGAGCUGUAUCGUCUCACCUCUGCUGCUGUGAGCGCACCCUGUGGGGCCCCAGCUGCCUGAGCCCGGCAGGGCUGGGGAAAUGCUGGUGAUGCUGUGGGAUAGGCACCAAUAACUGCUGCCAGCAGUCCCACAGCACAACCCAACCAAAGCCUCGUUUCGUGAUCCAAGUCUCGCAGACACGCUCAACUGGAGUCCAGGAACGAGUGGAUGCUGGUCUCGGCCAGCACUGGAAUUUGUAUGCUAUGGUCACCGAGGCCACAGUCAUCUCUCACUGAUGUCACAACUCCCUGGUCAGUGACCUCACAGUCCACGGCUGUGUGUAUUUGGACACCAGCCUGGGCCUCCAUCACCCUCCAUUAUUCAGUGAUUUUUCUUUCUAAUGCUGAUAUCUGGGAGAAUAAAAAUUGCACGAUCACUUUCUCCACAAUAAUCCAUCUUCUAUGAACU